UUUUUCCAGCUGUCCUUUCUCCUGAGCACCAAGUUUAGUGCAAUCUUUGCCCCUUUAGCAGCCCUCUAGCUGCUAGGAAGUCUCUCAGACUGCCCGCUUUUCUUUUGUCCCAGAGUGGCUGGAUUCUCAGUCUCUCCAAGUAUUCUGCCUGUUUUAGCUUUCCAACCCCACUAAUCUCCAGAGCAACAUGUAAUGUAUGUUCAUGCUCCCAGAGCAGAUCUCCAGGGCUGGGUGGUCAGCAGUCCUAGGCCUCUACCUCCUCCCUGCUCCAUUUCUCUUCCAGUGAGCUGGGGUGGUGGAAGGGCUUGUGUCCCACUGGAUCAUGGCUUUGGUACUUUACCCUGUUCCAUGAGGUCUGUUCUUUUCUCCAAGUGUAUGCAGUCUGGCGCAGCCUUCUUUCCUGUUGCUCUUUCAGGAUUAGUUGUAUUAACUAUAUUUUCUUAUUACAUGUGGGUUAGUGAGGAGGUUUCUGUCUCACCUUUCAUGCCACCAUCUUUAAUCCCAGGGCCUCUGUUUAAUUUUUUUUUGCCCAUUUUAUUACUGUGUUUUUUAUUUUUCCCCUUAUUAAGUUAUAAGGGUAUUUUUUACACUCUGGAUAUACUACCUCUAUCAGAUGUAUGAGUUGAAAGAUAUUGUCUCCCAGUCUUUGGCUUGUCCUUUCAUUUUUUUUUU